rnacentral:rRNA from 1 species
AGCGAACGCUGGCGGCAGGCUUAACACAUGCAAGUCGAGCGGGCACUUUCGGGUGUCAGCGGCGGACGGGUGCGUAACGCUUGGGAACGUGCCCUCUGGUUCGGAAUAACUCAUGGAAACUUGAGCUAAUACCUGAUACGCCCUUUUGGGGAAAGGCUUGCUGCCGGAGGAUCGGCCCGCGUCUGAUUAGCUAGUUGGUGAGGUAACGGCUCACCAAGGCGACGAUCAGUAGCUGGUCUGAGAGGAUGAUCAGCCACACUGGGACUGAGACACGGCCCAGACUCCUACGGGAGGCAGCAGUGGGGAAUAUUGGACAAUGGGCGCAAGCCUGAUCCAGCCAUGCCGCGUGAGUGAUGAAGGCCUUAGGGUUGUAAAGCUCUUUUAUCCGGGACGAUAAUGACGGUACCGGAGGAAUAAGCCCCGGCUAACUUCGUG